UACGUAGGGGGCAAGCGUUGUCCGGAUUUAUUGGGCGUAAAGAGCGUGUAGGCGGCCAGGUAGGUCAGCUGUGAAAACUCUAGGCUCAACCUCGAGACGUCGGUUGAAACCACUUGGCUAGAGUCCGGAAGAGGAGAGUGGAAUUCCUGGUGUAGCGGUGAAAUGCGCAGAUAUCAGGAAGAACACCCGUGGCGAAGGCGGCUCUCUGGGACGGUACUGACGCUGAGACGCGAAAGCGUGGGGAGCGAACAGG
rnacentral:rRNA from 1 species